ACAGGUUCCUACAAUGGAGAUCCCUGAAGGUUGCAAAUAAAUUAUUUAAAAAUCCAAAGUCACCUAGGCUACUUCAUCUCAACGACGUGGUCUUGGUGCAGUGGGCCUUCAGUUUUAACUCUGUAAUGUAGAAUAUUGCAGUUUUUUUAGAAACUUCAAGGUUUACAUCGUAGGGUUAAAUCUAACGCUAGUCAUGGUCUUCUUGACAUCCACUAGAGACUCUCUACGUCACUGACCCAGUG